rnacentral:lncRNA from 1 species
GUCUAAACAAAAUACUCCACUUCACCAGGGGAUUACAUGACCCAUCAAGUUAGCCAGGUGUGUCUGACGGUGAUUAUGGCUAUCUGUUGUAUAAUAAUGACAACAUAUUUGUAUUUGGAAUUUGUCUUUCAGCAUCAGUAGAACACACCUGACUCUCCUCCACCAUUCAUACAAGGAGAAUUGUCUAAUGCCUCCAAUCAAAAAGAGAGCUGGCCCAAGCAUGGACAGGUUACACCUGAUGCAUGUGGACUUGCAGCGAGUUGUGAACUUCAUCAACAACUAUGCAGAGGAUAAUGCAAGAGUAUUACCACGAAGCCACCCAGGACACAAACACUUUGGUGGAAAGCUGCUGCCAUCCCAUGUGACAAAAGCAGCGGUGUGGUGUCACCCCAAGGAAUCGAUGACAACACUUGCUUCGAUGCUCUGGAGCCUGGUGUUGUUGUCGCCAAGGAGCGUUCGGGACCAGGUUUCAACUGCUGUGCAAUGCGGACAUCCUUCUUCCCAUAGAUAGUCUGCCUGUUCAAGCACCACCUGGACUGGACACAGCUAGACAAACGUAUCUUUUUGAGAAGAUUCGGGAGUUUAGCGACAAAAAGGCUAUGGACAUCACAUGCCCUGCACCAAAGUCAAGGGCAGGACAGAAACAGGCUUUCCAAAUAUAGAUUCCCUUGUUCAUGCGUGGUUCAGACUGACCAGUCAUCAGCAUUAUCUGCAGUGCCUCUAUUCAAAUGACUUUUUUUUCUGCUGCUCAGCCACUUUACCCCUGAUUGUAUGCAUAUAACUACCUCAUCUAUCACUGAUAUUGUUAUUGAUAUUGUUCUUGUACAUACUGUAUAUUAUUUGAUUUAUAUUGACACUAUCUAUAUCUGAUAUUGGUACUAUGCAUGUAACCAUUUGGCUGUACCGUUUACACUUUCUGUAGAAACCCACUUAGCAAGAUGUGGCUGGUGUUACAGCAUUUCUUUCAUAUGACCCAUCAAUAUAGACAAGUGUGUCUGGGUAAGCGUCAUGUAAUAUUUUUAAAAUAUUUUUAUCUGGACAAUUUCUGUUUACCUGGAAUUUUUCCUUAUUGUAGGCAGUGGUGUAAAGUACUUAAGUUAUGUUUACUUUUACUCAAGUUUGACAAUUGGGUACUUUUUCCACCACUGAUU